rnacentral:lncRNA from 1 species
GGGUCGUUACAGAUUGGUAUCAGAGCCCUAGGUUCACAUGAUCGGACCGAUAGAGACAGUGUCGGGCUCAUAGAGGUUAGAAGUGGUCAAGCACAAUAGGAAAUCAUGUCCACUAGGAUAGGGUGUUGAGUCCUAUCUGUUUUAUGCCAUGAGUUUUGCAUGUGUAUUACGGAUAUGUGAUGUUAUAUGCUAAAGUGUUAUGUUAUGUGUUGUUUUCCAGAGAGUAAAGAUGAGAGGAACUCGUCGAUCAGCUCGAUUGACUGGAGUCCCACCAGAGAGUGAAAGACCAGCUGCUCGUCCUCCUGCAUUGCCGAGGGCAAGGUCUCAGAG